rnacentral:rRNA from 1 species
UACGGGGGGGGCAAGCGUUGUUCGGAAUUACUGGGCGUAAAGGGCGCGUAGGCGGCUCGCUAAGUCGGAUGUGAAAACUCUGGGCUCAACCCAGAGCCUGCAUCCGAAACUGACGAGCUAGAGUUCUGGAGGGGAAAGCGGAAUUCCUGGUGUAGCGGUGAAAUGCGUAGAUAUCAGGAGGAACACCGGUGGCGAAGGCGGCUUUCUGGACAGAAACUGACGCUGAGGCGCGAAAGCUAGGGGAGCAAACAGG